rnacentral:snRNA from 1 species
CCUUAAGGUCAUUUUAUAGGG